CCAUAUGAUCUUCGGAUUAAAGGAUUUAUCCGCUUUGGGAGCGGCGCGCGUUAGAUUAGGGUUGGUGAGGUAAUGGCUCACCAAGCCUACGAUCUAUAGCUGGUCUGAGAGGAUGAUCCCAGACUGGAACUGAGACACGGUCCAGACUCCUACGGGAGGCAGCAGUGAGGAAUCUUACAAUGGGCGAAAGCCUGAUGGAGCAACGCCGCGUGCAGGAUGAAGGCCCUAGGGUCGAACUGUUUUUAUAAGUGAAGAAUAUGACGGUAACUUAUGAAUAAGCACCGGCUAACUAUGCCAGCAGCCGCGGUCAUACGUAGGGUGCAAGCAUUAUCCGGAGUGACUGGGCGUAAAGUUGCGUAGGUGGUUUGUUAAGUAGAUAGUGAAAUCUGGGGGCUCAACCUCACAGGCUUAUCUAAACUGGCAGACUCGAGAAUGGUAGAGGUAACUGGAAUUUUUUGUGUAGGAGAAAUCCGUAGAUAUAAGAAGGAACACCAAUGGCGUAGGCAGGUUACUGGACCAUUUCUCACUGAGGCACGAAAGCGUGGGGAGCGAACGGGAUUAGAUACCCCGGUAGUCCACGCCAAACGAUGGAUACUAGCUGUUGGGGGUAUCGACCCCCCCAGUAGCGAAGCUAACGCGU
rnacentral:rRNA from 1 species